UGUAGUGGUUGUGCAGCCUUUCAGCCGUAUUUGUGUAAACAGGUGCUGACAGAGAAGGGCGAGUUUGUCUUACCCGCUAUCUGUUGCCAUGCUUCCGGAUGCCUUUAACCGGGUGUCGGGAGCGGACAGCAUCUUUACUUUGAACAAAUGUGGGUGCUCAAGGAAGGCCUUUGUGCCUAGAAAUUCUUGCAUGGAAUAAUGAAAUAGGACUUUGGUUCUAUUUUGUUUGUUUUCGGAUCCGAAGUAAUGAUUAAGAGGGACAGACGGGGGCAUUUGUAUGGCGGUGUUAGAGGUGAAAUUCUCGGAUUAUCGCCAGACAAACUACAGCGAAAAAAUUUGCCAAGAAUGCUUUCAUUGUUCAGGAGCAAAAGUCAGAUUUUCGAAGACGACCAGAUACCGUCGUAGUUCUGACCAUAAACGAUGCCAAAUGACGAUCCGCGAUGGUUCUA
rnacentral:ncRNA from 1 species